CUGUCCGUAGCUCAGUUGGAUAGAGCACCGACCUUCUAAGUCGGUUGUCGCAGGUUCGAUCCCUGCCGGGCAGGCCA
rnacentral:tRNA from 2 species